rnacentral:rRNA from 1 species
GAUGAACGCUAGCUACAGGCUUAACACAUGCAAGUCGAGCGACCGGCGCAUGGGUGAGUAAUACGUAUCCAACCUGCCCUUUACUCGGGGCUAGCCUUUCGAAAGAAAGAUUACUACCCGAUAUAAAGGAUGGGGAUGCGUUCCAUUAGGUUGUUGGUGAGGUAACGUCUCACCAAGACUUCGAUGGAUAGGGGUUCUGAGAAGAAGGUCCCCCACAUUGGAACUGAGACACGGACCAAUCUCCUACGUGAGGCAGGGGAAAGGAAUAUUAUUCAAUGGGCGCUGACGUGGACCAGCCACGUGGCGUGAAGGAUGAAGGGGUAUGGGUCGUAAGCUUCUUUUAAAGAAGAAUCUGUAUUAUAUGAAUAAGGAUCGGCUAACUACGUGCCAGCCGCCGCGGUAAUAC